rnacentral:rRNA from 1 species
UCACGGCUGCCAAGAAAAGCUUCUAAGUUUAGAUCGCGCGAACCGUACCGCAAACCAACUCAGGUGGAUGGGAUGAAUAAUCCAAGGCGCUCGAGAGAACUCUGGCCAAGGAACUCGGCAAAUUGACCCCGUACCUUCGGAAUAAGGGGUGCUCCCCACGGUGAGACAAAUACUUGUUCAGCCCCGGGGAGCCGCAGAGAAAUGGUGGUGGCGACUGUUUACUAAAAACAUAGGUCUGUGCGAAGUCCUACAGACGACGUAUACGGACUGACGCCUGCCCGGUGCCGGAAGGUUAAAAGGAGGAGUCAGCGCAAGCGAAGCUCCGAUUUGAAGCCCCGGUAAACGGCGGCCGUAACUAUAACGGUCCUAAGGUAGCGAAAUUCCUUGUCGGGCAAGUUCCGACCUGCACGAAUGGCGUAACGAUCUCCACGCUGUCUCGGCCAGAGACUCGGUGAAAUUGAAGUCGCGGUGAAAAUGCCGUGUACCCGCAGAAAGACGGAAAGACCCUGUGCACCUUUACUAUAGCUUGACAUUGGGUUUGAACCUGCAUGUGUAGGAUAGGUGGGAGGCUGUGAAAGCUGUACGCCAGUAUGGCCGGAGCCACCCGUGAAAUACCACCCUUGUUUGUUCAGGACCCUAACUCGCAGCUGUAAUCCAGCGCGAAGACAGUGUCUGGUGGGUAGUUUGACUGGGGCGGUCGCCUCCUAAAGAGUAACGGAGGCAUGCAAAGGUUCCCUCAGGCUGAUUGGAAACCAGCCGUUGAGUGCAAGCGCAUAAGGGAGCCUGACUGCAAGAGAGACAUCUCGAACAGAUACGAAAGUAGGUGCUAGUGAUCCGGUGGUCCCGAAUGGAAGGGCCAUCGCUCAUUGGAUAAAAGGUACGCCGGGGAUAACAGGCUGAUCGCAUCCAAGAGUUCACAUCGACGAUGCGGUUUGGCACCUCGAUGUCGGCUCAUCACAUCCUGGGGCUGAAGCAGGUCCCAAGGGUACGGCUGUUCGCCGUUUAAAGUGGUACGCGAGCUGGGUUUAAAACGUCGUGAGACAGUUUGGUCCCUAUCUUCUGUGGGCGUAGGAGAAUUGAGAGGGUUUGUCCCUAGUACGAGAGGACCGGGAUGAACGCACCACUGGUGGAUCAGUUGUCGCGCCAGCGGCAUAGCUGAGUAGCUAUGUGCGGAAUGGAUAACCGCUGAAAGCAUCUAAGCGGGAAGCCAGCCUCGAGAUAAGUUCUCCCUGUCGCAAGACACUAAAGGGCCGAUGAAGACUACAUCGUUGAUAGGCCGGAGGUGGAAGCGCUGCGAAGCGUGGAGCUGACCGGUACUAAUAGCCCGUGCGCCG